rnacentral:rRNA from 1 species
UACGUAGGGGGCAAGCGUUGUCCGGAAUCAUUGGGCGUAAAGCGCGCGUAGGCGGCCCGGUAAGUCCGCUGUAAAAGUCCAGGGCUCAACCCUGGAAAGCCGGUGGAUACUGUCGGGCUAGAGUCCGGAAGAGGAGAGUGGAAUUCCUGGUGUAGCGGUGAAAUGCGCAGAUAUCAGGAAGAACACCCGUGGCGAAGGCGGCUCCCUGGGACGGUACUGACGCUGAGACGCGAAAGCGUGGGGAGCGAACAGG